rnacentral:rRNA from 1 species
UACAGAGGGUGCAAGCGUUGUUCGGAAUUAUUGGGCGUAAAGGGAGUGUAGGCGGUUUGUUAAGUCUUCUGUGAAAUCUACGGGCUUAGCCUGUAACGUGCAGAGGAAACUGGCAGACUUGAGUAUUGGAGAGGGCAGGGGAAUACCCAGUGUAGAGGUGAAAUUCGUAGAUAUUGGGAAGAACACCAGUGGCGAAGGCGGCUCACUGGCCCGUAACUGACGCUGAGGUGCGAAAGCGUGGGGAGCAAACAGG